rnacentral:rRNA from 1 species
AGAGGUCCAGCCUGCCCAGUGACAUAGUUUAACGGCCGCGGUACCCUAACCGUGCGAAGGUAGCAUAAUCACUUGUUCUUUAAAUAGGGACUCGUAUCAACGGCAUCACGAGGGCUAUGCUGUCUCCUUUCUCCAAUCAAUGAAACUGAUCUCCCCGUGAAGAAGCGGGGAUUGACCUAUAAGACGAGAAGACCCCAUGGAGCUUCAAACUCAACAUACACCUCUACGCACCUAAAUCACUUUAGCCCAAGAGAUCUGUCUGUUAGUUUUGGGUUGGGGGGACCGCGGAGUAAAAAUUAACCUCCACGACAAACGGGCCUAACGCCCUUAUCCACGAACUUCAACUCUAAGAAUCAAUAAACUGAUGUUUAUGACCCGAUUAUUCGAUCAACGAACCAAGUUACCCUGGGGAUAACAGCGCAAUCUACUUCAAGAGCCCCUAUCGACAAGUAGGUUUACGACCUCGAUGUUGGAUCAGGGUAUCCUAGUGGUGCAGCCGCUACUAAAGGUUCGUUUGUUCAACGAU